AAUGGCCGCAGUACUCUGACUGUGCUAAGGUAGCGUAAUCAGUUGGCUUUUAAAUGGAGUCGGGUAUGAAUGGAAUAACCGGGUUUAGCUGUCUCUUAGGUACUUACUUUAAUUUGCUUUUUAAGUGAAAAAGCUUAAAAAAACAAAAAAGACGAGAAGACCCUUAGAAUUUUAAUUACAAUCAACAUCGUUUUUAUUGGGGCAAUAAAGAAACACUAAAAAACUUUCUUAAUUUACAAGCCGAUAAUUUUAAGUCAGAAUAAAUUACCUGAGGGAUAACAGCAUUAUUUUAAAAUUAAGUUUGUGACCUCGAUGUUGGACUAGGAAACUGGCAGGCUAGCCGUUUGCCAUGUUGGUUCUGUUCGAACUGUUUA
rnacentral:rRNA from 1 species